AGUCCUAGAGCGGGACAGCUCGUCUUGGCCCUUGGCGCAGGGAGCCGGCUGUGGUCGCUGCGCCCCUCAGUCCCCUGCUCGCCCCGGCCGGCCGGUGUGGGACGGUUCCGUCGGUUCCGGUUCCCUAUGUUACUCCUGAAACCGUGCACCUCAGAUUGGGACUUGAACCCACGCAGCAGGGACUUGAACCCAGCCAAAACCCAGCUUGGGACGGGCACCCACGCGGCAGGGACUUGAACCCGGCCAAAACCGACAGUCUUCCAACUGACAUCACACACCUGGUUUCAGGACUUAAUGAAGCUCAGGUUCUUGAUGUGUCAUCGCAGAAAGAAUUCAGUGAGAGACAAAGUGAUAGACUAUGAGCUCCACGAGAUCUGGAAUGGAGCCUGUCUUGCCCACUGAGAUAUCCUUAUUACCAAGUACAACAAAAUCAUCCUGGGCAUUUCAAAGAGGGAAUUUAAAACAGGGAAUUGACUACACAGGAAGUGCACAGAGACCCACUUUCCACCCAUCCACUCCCAGCCAGGGAGGCUGGUGCAUAUGGACAUUAUCAACAUACUCUGAUGCCUCCAGCUUCUGGUUGGGAUCGGCUGGUGGAAAGCAUUAGCAGGACAUGGAGAUGGAGGGCUCAGAGGAAGGUGCAGGAGGAGAAGGGGAGAAGGUCCUAUUUGUCCCUCCUUGCUGCCCUGAUGGGCAGGGUUUCCUCCACGUGGGACAGAGCCUGGGGGCUCUGGCUGUCUCUCCUACGCAAAGGAUCAGCAGCCCACAUCCAGUGAUCGAUGAAUGAGUGGAAAGGAGCCCAGCCCUUUCACCCCAGCUCAGGAGAGCUCUGAAGGGUCAUCCCAUGUUCAGAGCUCCCCGCAGGACUGACUGAGACGUUCCCUUGAGACUGCAUUCAGCUAGACUUCAUCCUUUGCCCAACCCUGCUUCCCUGUCUUCCUAACAAACCUCCUACAUGUUAAUCUCCAUCUCAGAGUCUGCUUCCUGGGAAACCCAAGCAGGGAUAGUGGGUACCCAGGAGUGGUCUAAGAAAACAGAUGAUGAGACAGGGUUUUAGAGCUGGAUUACUGGCCACCCAACUGGCAUCACUGUUAGGAGUGGUUGCCUUUCAGGAAUGAAAUCGGCAAGUUUUUUUUUUAAAGAAAAAUGUAUAUCUUUCUGUAAUAUUUGACUUAUCAUAUCCAUGUAUCAUAUUGCUUUCAUUUAUAAAUGGUUAAUUGCAAAUGUCUGAGAUGUGGUAUUAUAAGCCAUUUAAAUUUCAUUCUUUACAUUUUUUGUUUUAAAAGUGAUUGAAUGCUAUUUAAGAAUCUCGAGAAAUCAGGAAAAGAAGUGGGGAGAGGGUUAAUAUUUUGUUCCUG